rnacentral:rRNA from 1 species
CUAAUACAUGCAAGUCGAACGAGAUCUUCGGAUCUAGUGGCGCACGGGUGCGUAACGCGUGGGAAUCUGCCCUUGGGUUCGGAAUAACGUCGGGAAACUGACGCUAAUACCGGAUGAUGACGAAAGUCCAAAGAUUUAUCGCCCAGGGAUGAGCCCGCGUAGGAUUAGCUAGUUGGUGGGGUAAAGGCUCACCAAGGCUACGAUCCUUAGCUGGUCUGAGAGGAUGAUCAGCCACACUGGGACUGAGACACGGCCCAGACUCCUACGGGAGGCAGCAGUAGGGAAUAUUGGACAAUGGGGGCAACCCUGAUCCAGCAAUGCCGCGUGAGUGAUGAAGGCCUUAGGGUUGUAAAGCUCUUUUACCCGAGAUGAUAAUGACAGUAUCGGGAGAAUAAGCUCCGGCUAACUCCGUGCCAGCAGCCGCGGUAAUACGGAGGGAGCUAGCGUUGUUCGGAAUUACUGGGCGUAAAGCGCACGUAGGCGGCGAUUUAAGUCAGAGGUGAAAGCCCGGGGCUCAACCCCGGAACUGCCUUUGAGACUGGAUUGCUAGAAUCUUGGAGAGGCGGGUGGAAUUCCGAGUGUAGAGGUGAAAUUCGUAGAUAUUCGGAAGA